rnacentral:piRNA from 1 species
UAAUCGCGUACCGUUGCAUAGCCGUGGC